ensembl:snoRNA Gm22784 predicted gene, 22784
AAAACAGGUUAUAAGUACAGCUCUUCAUUUUGUGGAAGUAUUGCCACUACCCUGCUGAAAGAGAAACCAUGUUUACCUUUAUGAGUGUAAAAAUGACAGCCUGACAAAGACAGUU